GCGGAGUCAGGGAAGGUAAGUGGCAGAAUCACUGCACCUGCUGUCAGCUAACCUGCAUUUGUGUGUCUUCCCCAGUGACCGCGCCCUAUAAAAGGAGAGAGUGAGCAGAGGAAGGGAGCUCUCUCCCCAACCAGACGACUUGUGUGUAUACAGAGGACCUUGAAGAGCUGUUCAGGCCGAGGAGUACAGAUCCACGGCAAAACACCAGAUCAGACAAUUAUCAGAGAAAGAUUCUGAUUAAGACAGUAGUGAGACCAGCUGUGAUGUAUGGAUCGGAGACCGUACCCUUAACGAAGAGACAGGAGGCAAAGUUGGAGGUGGCAGAGUUGAGGAUGUUAAGGUUUGCGACAGGAGUGACGAGGUUGGACAGGAUAAGGAACGAGCACAUCAGAGAGACAGCACAUGUGGAGAGCUUGGGAAUUAAGCUAAGAGAGAUGAGACUGAGAUGGUAUGGGCACAUCCUGAGAAGAGAUGCUGAUCAUGUUGGAAGGAGAAUGUUGAGGAUGGAGCUGCCAGGCAAACGAAAACGAGGAAGGCCAAAGAGGAGAUACAUGGAUGUGGUGAGAGAGGACAUGAAAGUGGCAGGUGUGGUAGAGAAGGAUGCGGAAGACAGGGAGCAAUGGAGACGAAAGAUCCACUGUGGCGACCCCUAAUCGGGAGCAGCCAAAAGAAGAAGAAGAAUCAGAGAGAGGUUCUGAUGUGCCUAGAUGAAAUUGUGCAGAAUUAUCUGUAGGCUCGCACUGCUGUGGCUGCAACAACUAAGGAGACAACUACUGUACUAACCCACGAUUCAUCUGAUUCGGAAACCAGAGACAGCUGUUAUGCCUCAGUCACAACUGGCCGUACGUGCUCCUACGGCCGGUCUAUGUGCAAAAAACACAAGAAACGCGCAGAAGGCGCGCGUGAAACGCACGGAGGGCGUGCGUGUGACAUGCUGAUUUUCGAGGCGCAGACCGGCCGCAGAGGUUCUUUGUCAUGUCAAACAAACUCUACGGGUGCUUACGUUUUUUUCAGGUUGCAAGACACUUACGGCCAAUGUGCGUCUUUCUCCACGAACAAAAAAAAUGCAGCGAUUUGGGAAACGCCAAAAAUCGCACGGCCAAAAAAUCGUACGUCCGGUUGUGACCUAGGCUUUAGCUCUUUCACUACUAGAUUUUUCUAUUAUUGAAUACUGGUUCACCAUUAAAUAUUUUCUAGAGCCAGAACAAAAAUAAUGGUUGGCAUGUGUGUAAAUAUUGCAGUCAGUCUCUGUAGGUUUUUAUGUCAUUUUAGUGUAAUGUAAUAUCUGACCAGCGGCCAUCAUAAAAGUGCAGAACAAUACCUUUAAGUUCCUUUGCAUAUUCAUGAUUACAUUUGA